CCCUUAGGGCCUGACACUGCCUAGUUUGGAGACAAGACCACGGAGCAGCCUUGCCAAGGUGGCAGUGCCAAGGGAAGCUUGGUGGGCCAGGGGACAAGUAGGCAGACAGUAAGCUGAGCUCGCCAGCAUGUGUCUGUGAAAACAGGGUCCUGUUAUGAACCCCUUGUUCUAUUAGCUCCAACUCUUGAGCUCCCAAGUGCCUCAUUUAGCCCCACACGAAGCUCACUGGAGGGGAGGAGCCAUGGGAGGCUCUCAGGAGAGGAGUGUGGACUGAAGAUGCGCGCUGAUGAGAACCAGAGAGCCCCGUCAGGCCUCUAAGAGUAAAUGGAGGAUCCUGGAAGGAUGCAGCAUCAAGGAAGACCUUGCUGGAACAAUCCCUGGGCAUCUAAGCCA
rnacentral:lncRNA from 1 species